AAACCAGCACCUCAAGUGGUCAGGAUGAUUAUUGGGCCUAAAGCAUCCGUAGCCGGCUCUGUAAGUUUUCGGUUAAAUCUGUACGCUCAACGUACAGGCUGCUGGGAAUACUGCAGAGCUAGGGAGUGGAAGAGGUAGACGGUACUCGGGAGGAAGUGGUAAAAUGCUUUGAUCUCUCGAUGACCACCUGUGGCGAAGGCGGUCUACCAGAACACGUCCGACGGUGAGGGAUGAAAGCUGGGGGAGCAAACCGGAUUAGAAACCCCAGUAGUCC
rnacentral:rRNA from 1 species